rnacentral:rRNA from 1 species
GACGAACGCUGGCGGCGUGCUUAACACAUGCAAGUCGAACGGAGUGGCGAACGGGUGAGUAACACGUGGGUGACCUGCCUUGCACUUCGGGAUAAGUUUGGGAAACUGGGUCUAAUACCGGAUAGUGCAAGAUGAGGUCGGGGCCUAUCGGCUUGUUGGUGGGGUAGUGGCCUACCAAGGCGUCGAGGGGUAGCCGGCCUGGGAGGGGGUACGGCCACAGUGGUACUGGGGUACGGGCCAGACUGCUACGGGGGGCAGCGGUGGGGAAUAUUGCACAAUAGGCGGAAGCCUGAUGCAGCGACGCCGGGUGGGGGAUGAAGGCUUUCGGGGUGUAAACUCCUUUCGACAGGGACGCGGUACCUGUAUAAGAAGCACCGGCUAACUACGUGCCAGCAGCCGCGGUAAUAC